GAAGGUGACUAGCUCAGUUGGUUAGAGCAUGGUGCUGAUGAUGCCAAGGUUUCGGGUUUGAGCCCCAUAUAGGACACCUGCA